UACGGGGGGGGCAAGCGUUGUUCGGAAUUACUGGGCGUAAAGGGCUCGUAGGCGGCCAACUAAGUCAGACGUGAAAUCCCUCGGCUUAACCGGGGAACUGCCUCUGAUACUGGAUGGCUUGAGAUUGGGAGAGGGAAGCGGAAUUCCGGGUGUAGCGGUGAAAUGCGCAGAUAUCCGGAGGAACACCGGUGGCGAAGGCGGCUUCCUGGACCGACACUGACGCUGAGGCGCGAAAGCUAGGGGAGCAAACGGG
rnacentral:rRNA from 1 species